rnacentral:snRNA from 1 species
GUACUCACUUCGGCGGUACAUAUACUACAUUUUGAAUCAUAUUGAGAAGAUUAGUAUGUCCCCUGAGCAAGGAUGACAUGCAGAAUCGUGAAGCGUUUCAUAUUUUU